CCCUGUUUUUGUUCAUCUGUUUCACUUCUUAAAUCCACUGUUUUUCUGUGUUGUAAGAAGUCCUGCUUAUCCUUCAGUGUCCUGUUUACAUGACUUCCUUUCCUCCCCUGCUCUCGGCAUCUCUGUGAUAACAACCAUCUCCGCCUGCUGUCUGAAUCAAAGAGCAAGAAAUGCCGGUCGCUUUACCAGCUAUGCUCAGAUUGCCUGAGAAUCCUGACUUUACCAUUUACAGUAUGGCCUUGGAACGUGUCCCCAUGUUCCCUAAAGAGAGAGAAGAGCAGCUUCACUGUAUUAUCCGUGGGCUCUUGCCUACAGACCGAUCAGGAUCUCAGCAUUCCACCAAGACAACCUCCAAAAAAGGAAAAGCAAAUGAGCAGGGCUGUUUCUGAGGAUAUGAAAUACUUUACAAUUAAAUAAGGUUGAGGAAACGGAGUCACAGAGAAAUUAUAAGCCCAGACCUCACAGCUAGUCCAUCUGGCCCAAAGGACUCCAGAACAUGGCCUUCAGCCAGAACAGAGAAGAGAAAUGAAUGGCAAGAGAGCCUAAAAAUAUUCUGAGAAGCUGAGAUAAAUUAGUACAUAUUUAUGUUAACUAACAAAACUUAUUCAUUAAAUCCCUUCCCACCUUCCCCCUCCCACCACCCCCACAUGUGAUUUAUAUGAUUUGUGUAUGUUCUGAAGAACAGUUAUUUUGGUAAGGGUUACAAGGACAUUUUGGCAUCAAUUCAGAAAUGCCAUGGUUUACUAAAGAUUAACGAAUAGAGAGCUGGAAGACCUAGGUCUUAGUCUUAGUCCUGCUACUAAUUAACUGUAUAAUUUGGUCAAACCAAUUGCUUUCCUUUUCUGAAUUCAGCUUCCCCACCUGUGAAGUGCAUUGGGGUGAGGGGCUACUGAGGUUUCCUGGAAGGUUAGUUAAGGAGGAAGAUGUUAGUCAAGACAGAGCCCAGGACCCAAGACCACAGACAGUGGUCCCAUGUCCAUGCCUCUUAGAUAAUCAUAAAUUUUCUUUCUCACAUUAGUUAUAGUCUAUAGUUGAGAUGAUUCAGUAUACAUAUUUAAGAAGACCCAAGAAUCUAUUGGCUCAUCACUUGAAUAUGCUCUUAUAGAUAUGGUAGACUUAUUCCACAUUACUUUUGCGUGAGACUAACUAAUUUGAACCAAUCUAAACUUGUACUGUCCAAUAUGAGAGCCAGUAGCCACAUGUGGCUACAAGCACUUGAAAUGUGCUUAGUCUAAGUGAAGAUGGGUUGAAAAUGUAAAUACACAUCAGAGUUUAAAGCUUUAAUAGGGAAAAAGAAUGUAAACUAUCUCAACAAUUUUUAUAGUGAUUACAGAUUGACUUUCCCAUUCUGAAGAAACAACAAUAUACAUUCAAUGAAUCAAUAAACAGAAGUAAUUGAGGGGCAGUACAUACAGGCAUUCAUGCGCACACAGUUCAGAGGGUUGAAAAAAAAAAAGCCUUUAUGGUCUUCAGUGGAUGAACAUUAGUAAAUAUAAAAAUGCCUUCAAAUUAAAUUUAAAUGUGCAUCUUACUGACCUAGUGUCUUAGUCUGCCCAUGAUCCCAUAACAAAGCACCACAGACUGGGUGGCUUAAACAACAGAAAUUCAUUUCUUACCGUUGAGGAGGCUGGAGGUCUGAGAUCAAGAUACUGACCAAUUCCAUUCCUGGAAAGGGUGUGCUUCCUGGUUUGCAGUCGGCCAUGUUCUUGCUACAUCUUCCCAUGAUGUUUCCUCUGUACACACACACACACAUACACACGUGGAGAUCCUCCUCUUUUAUAAGAACAGCAGUCCCAUUGGGUUAGGGCCCUGCCUUUAUAUCCUCAUUGACCCUUAAUUACCUUCCAAAGACCCCAUCUCUAAAUACGAUCACAUUGUGGGUUAGGGCUUCAACAUGAAUCUGUGGUGGAGGGGGGAGCAAUUCAGUCCAUAACACUCAGUGUGGCUAUCCUUUGUUAAAAAGCGUAGGGUAAUUUACUUUGUAACUGCCUACAUUCUAUGUUGCCUAGAAAUGAAAUUUUAAUGUUCCAGUGUAACCAUAACUUGGCAGUUUCAAUCUUGAGUAUUUUUUCAUCUCCUCUUCUUCCCAAUACAACAACAAUAAUAAUAAAAUAAUAAUAAUAACAUUUAGGAGGAAAAAUAUUACCCUAAGAGACAGCCAUGUUUACUGUGUAGUGAUUUCCCAACAGAAAUUAAUUCCAAGCAAAUUUACAUUCUACAUUUAAAGAAGGUAUAAAUAAUUCAUAUUUUCAUAUCAUCAGCACUGUGCAUUUCCUACACCAGGGUACCUGUAAUUUUUUCAGCUUAUCUGUUCUAAAUUUUGGUUCCAUAACUCAUUAUCACAUUGUUUGUGCUUCUGUUCCAAAGUGGUAAUUUAAUAGUCUUCCAUAGAAUUAUGUUCAAUUAAAACGUUUUUGGUUUUAACAUUCAAAACCUUUUCAGUUUUUAAUUUAAUUGUUGUAACUUUGUUUGUAUGUAUCAUUGACAUACCUUAUUUUUUCACUGCACUCACACAAAUACCAAACCUUCGGAGUAAAUAAAAUCUUCGACAGCUAGGAGUGUGCCCGGCUUCUUCUCCCUCUGCACCACGUGACUCAUUCGCGCCAGCCUCUUCGA